CAAAUGCUGUUCUUGAACUUCAUCGCUAAAUGCCCCAAAAGGAGAACUACUUACCAAAAGGGAAUUCUCAAAACAAAGGAGAAUAAACUUACCUCCUAAGUACUGGGGCGGCGGCCCAGGACCCCCAAAUUUACAAUAAUAUUAACUCAGCUGAAAACGGAGCUUAGAAAUCUAGUUUUGGCGUCAGAGAGAGAGAUAGUAUUGUGACUUAUUUCGCAUGGAUAUGAAUAUACAAACAGACAAAGAGAGCGCUAUUGACGUAGGAGAAUAAUACAUAUACCAGAUAAGUGGCGGGCAUUCCACAUCAAGUUUUGUACAAAGUUCCUCUUUACCAUUUACCUGUGAACACAACUUAAUGUACAUUAGUGGAGAUCAGGACUAACGACUAUUAAAAUGCGCACACGGAAAGGCUUGUUGCCAAAAGCAAAUAUCUUCUUGCCAAUGUUUCUAUAACAAUGACCACCAUCAUCAUCCCCUAUAUAUAUUUACUUUUAUUCUUAAAGUUAGUAAAAUUUAAUAUGUAGUUAUUUCUCUUUUAUCUUAUACAAAUAAAAUCCAGUAUGUAGCUAUAUACUAAAAAUAUUUUAUAACUGUUUCAGAAUUAAUUAACAAAUAUACCCUACUAGAAAAUAGCAAAAGGCAUAUUCUCAAGUACUACCUGUAAGAUGAGUUGUUUGAACUUUUUUUUUAACAUUGAGGUUAAGAUUUCAUAGUAUAUCAAGCGAGUAUAUUGGCAAGGAAGAACCAAAAUUUAUUCACAGAAGACUAUGAAUAAGUUUCAAUAAUGUCUAGGGGAUUUAUGCUUACUUUUUCUCGGCCAACCAGGAUAGUACCUUUUUGCACAUGGGCAGGUACCUUGUUGGAAGAAGCAUAGUGACAUUAUUUUUGUGUUUUAGCUUAUUUAUUUCUUACGACUAAUAGAUGUAUUUUGCUUAAUAAAGCCUUACUUCAA
rnacentral:lncRNA from 1 species